AUCAUGCAUGAGGUAAUUUUAAUAUGACCUGUUAGGGUGUCAUUAGCCCAUUGUCCAGCUCAACUGCCUAUAGAAGGAAUGAGCAACCUUUCCAAAUGAUGGUCUGAAAUGGCCCUGUGGUGAUGGCGAAGAGACUGACAAACAACAGUGGAAACAAAAGGACACUUUCUCACAUCUCACUAAAGAAAAACUUUAUUGAAAACAGGAGACCGUGGAAGAAGAACCGCAACAAAAUAGAAAAGCGAGCAACUGAAAUGAUCAGGCUCUGAGCAUGCGUGGCUUUGCCCAGAAGCAGGAGCAGUAGACUGAGCACCAGCAGGGUGCAGCCACCAGACCCACAAAAGCUACAGGGGAGAGAGAGAAACUCUCUGCAGCAUUCCCCAGGAGGACGAUGGUUGCAAAACUACAAUUUGCUUGCUCACAAAGAAGGAGAAGUGCGCAAAUGCCUACUUAGAAAGAGCAAGAACAACAACA
rnacentral:lncRNA from 1 species